UACGAACUGUGCAAACGUUAUUCGGAUUCACUGGGCUUAAAGGGUGCGUAGGCGGCCAUGUAAGUAGGGUGUGAAAUCCCCCGGCUUAACCGGGGAACUGCGCCCUAAACUGUAUGGCUGGAGUGAGAUAGGGGUGUGUGGAACUUCCGGUGGAGCGGUGAAAUGUGUAGAUAUCGGGAGGAACACCGGUGGCGAAGGCGGUUCUCUGGGCCUUACCUGACGCUGAGGAGCGAAAGCGUGGGGAGCGAACAGG
rnacentral:rRNA from 1 species